AAAGACCCUAUGAAGCUUUACUGUAACUUGAAAUUGAAGUUGGACUUUACUUGCGCAGUAUAGGUGGGAGGCUUUGAGAAUAUUCUUGCGGGAAUAUUGGAGCCAUCAGUGAGAUACCACUCUGGUAAUGUUAGAUUUCUAACUUUGAAUCAUUAUCUGGUCAAAGAACAGUUUCAGGCGGGCAGUUUGACUGGGGCGGUCGCCUCCUAAACGGUAACGGAGGCGCACAAAGGUUUCCUCUGAACGGGUAGAAAUCGUAUCUAGAGUGUAAAGGCAUAAGGAAGCUUGACUGUGAGACCUACAAGUCGAGCAGGGACGAAAGUCGGUCUUAGUGAUCUGACGGUGCUGAGUGGAAAGGCCGUCACUCAACGGAUAAAAGUUACUCUAGGGAUAACAGGCUGA
rnacentral:rRNA from 1 species